AUACGGAGGGUGCAAGCGUUAUCCGGAUUCAUUGGGUUUAAAGGGUACGUAGGCGGAUAGAUAAGUUAGUGGUGAAAUCCCGAAGCUCAACUUCGGAACUGCCAUUAAAACUGUCUAUCUUGAAUUUGGUUGAAGUGGGCGGAAUAUGACAUGUAGCGGUGAGAUGCAUAGAUAUGUCAUGGAACACCGAUAGUGAAGACAGCUCACUAAGCCAAUAUUGACGCUGAGGUACGAAAGCAUGGGUAGCGAACAGGAUUAGAAACCCGGGUAGUCC
rnacentral:rRNA from 1 species